AUAGUUCUAGUUAUAUAUUGUUGUUUAUUUGUAAACAUUUCAGAAGGAGUUUCGAGACCAUUUCUUAAACAUUACACGUAUUAUGGACUGUGUGGGUUGUGAUAAAUGUAAACUUUGGGGGAAACUGCAGGUUCAAGGUAUGGGAACUGCUUUAAAAAUUUUGUUUUCUGGAGAUGGAAUGGGACCACAGUCAAUUGUUAAAGCUGGAUUAAAAAACAAAUUCCAACUUAGAAGAACAGAAAUUGUUGCACUGUUUAAUGCAUUUGGCAGGUUAUCAUCCAGUAUUUAUUCCAUUGAACAAUUCCGUAUGCUGCUUAGAUGACUGCAAAGGAUUGCUGAUUUCAGAUCAAGUCAAGAAUCCUCAUUAUUCUGCCCUACAAUUGUGAAGAUGAAAUCAUCAGAUUUUGAAGCUAUCAACACCAGCUGUUAUCAAAAUUUACAUUUCUCUUCUAGAAUGAUGUAAUAGAGUUUGUCUGAAGACAUAAGUCUGAAGAAACAUACAUGCAGCUUUGACAUAAGUUAAUAUUGGGAUUUAAGGGUUUUUACAUGUGAACAGUAAAUGUGAAUUAAUCAAAUUUAAGGAAAUAUACAAAUGAUAAGAUUGUUACAUAUAUUUUUAUAUGCCUGAAAGAAUUUUGACGUAUAUUGUUAUGCACCUGGUUGUCUGUCCAUCCGCCCGUUUGUUAGCAGGUUUCUGUAUUUGGUCUGUACCUUUAGAACCAGUGGAAGGGAAUUAAAACUGCAUGGCAGAAAUGUUCACCAUAAUGAGAGCAGGUUUGACCUUUCUCAGUUUAAGGUCAAAGUCACACUUAGUAAAAACAAAAAAAGAUAUCUUCCUUAAAGAAAAAGAAACAACUAAAACAGCUUAAGCUUAGAUAUUUAGCAUUAAACAUCUUCUAGUAGGUGUCUACCAAGUUUGUUAAUCCCUUCCAGAAAGCAGUGAGGGGAUUAUAGGACAUAAAACUUUUGUGCCCGCUCAAUAACAUAACUUUUAAACCAGUGAAAGCUAAUCUAAUCAACUUGGCUCUAGUGAUAACCAAUAAUUGGGUUGCUACUCAUAAGGUCAAGGUCACACUUAAUGGUCAAAUGUUAAAAAGUCAACAUUUCAUGUCCGCUCCAUAACUUUUAAACCACUGAAAUUUUUUUUAAAUAACUUGGUACAAGUGAUCACCAUUAUAAGGCAAUGUGCAGAGCUCUUUAAUUGAGUUACUUCACCCAAGGUCAAGGUUACACUUUAAUUUCAAGUGUUAAAAAGUCUACAAUUUGUGUCCUCUCCAUAACAUUUUAACCGCUGAAAUUUUAUUUAAUUAUCUUAACACUAGUGAUUAUCCUUAUAAGAAGAUGUGCACUGUGCAAUAAUUGAAUUGCUACCCCCAAGGUCAAGGUCGCACUUAAAGGUCAAGUGUUUAAAUGUCUACUUUUUGUGUCUGCUCAAUUACAUUUAAACUGCUGCAAUGUUUUUAAGAUAACUUCGCAGAAAUAAUUGCCAUCAUGACACCAUGUGCAGAGCACAACAAUCAAGUCAUUACCCUCAAGGUCAGGGUCACACUCAAAUGUCCAAUGUUAAAACAUCUAGUUUUCAUGUCCGUUCUAUAAGUAAUUGACAAAAAAAUCAAAGGUUUUAAAAUUACUUGGCACAAAUGAUCCCCACCAUAAUCUGCAGGUUGCUUCCCUCGAGGGGAAUCCAGGUUGCUACCCCCAAAGUCAAGGUCACACUUAAAGAUCAAAUUAUAACAUUUUCCUGUCUAUUCCUUAACUAUUUAAAUACUGAAAAGUUUUUAAAAUGACGUUGCACAAAUGGUCACCAUAAUGAAAUGAUGUGUGGAGGUCUAGGUCACACAUAGAUGUCAAAAGAUAAAAGUCAACAAUUUUGUAUCCUCUUCAUAACUUUUUAACUACUGAAUUUUUUUAAUUAUAUUGGCAUAAUUGAUCACCAUCAUCACCUACAGAGGGCUUUAAAGUGACAAAGUACCGGUAUUAUAAGUUAUUACUAAAUAUCCAUGGAACAGCAAUUUUGCUUUAAGCAUGAUACAACGAAAUACGUAAGAAACUUGUCAAUAUAUGAAGUCUUAGUCCAAAACCUUGACCUACAAUUCAAACAAAAUAAUAUGAUCUACAAAGGUAUCCUUCUGAAAAUGGAAAAUAAUUGGUAAAGAACUGAAAUAGACUUUUGUAUAGACUUUUAUGAUGAGCAAAAUUUAAUGUGCUUAUGGCACAACAUCAAGGUUAUGGUUGGAAAUAGGUCAAGAAUUACAUAUUUUCGUGUCUGCUGCGAAAGGGAAUUUAGCUGUCUUUCAGACUGCCUUGUUCAUAUUAAAGCCCUGAGGUCAAAAUUGGCCCCGCCCAAGGGGUCAUUGAUUUUCCCUAUAAUUUUUUAUAUAGUAAAAAAACAAAACAAGAAAUUCAAAUACUCAAAGAGCUAGAGCUUUUAUAUUUAGCAUCACACAUCUUCUAGUUGAUGUCAACCAAGUUUGUUCAAAUAUAAGCCCUGGGGUCAAAAUUUGACCACAAGGGGGUAAUUGAUUUUUCUUAAAUGUAUUUAGGAAAAACAUAUAAAAAUCUUCAAAAUACCAAAGAGCAAGAGUGACAUGGUGAGCUUUUGUGAUCGCAAUUCGUCCGUCGUCCCUCCGUAAACUUAUUUAAACUUAUUUAAACAACAUCUCCUUAAACCGCUAUGCCAAUGUCAUCCAAACUUAACAGGAAUGUUCCUUCGGUCGCCACCUUUGAAAAUUGUUUAAAGAAUUGAAUUCCAUGCAAAAACUUAAAAAUCGUAUGAAAAGGUCAAAUACCUAGAGCUCAGAUAUUUAGCAUCUCCUACAAAGUUGUUGUGUUUUUUUUUUUUUCAAAUAAUAGCCCUGAGGUCAAAAUUGGGCUCCAAUGGGCAAUUUCUUUUCCUUUUAAUUAUAUAGGAAAAGCAAAACAAAAUAUUUGAAAAAACGCCAAAGAGCUAAGCAUGAGACAUUUUAUUGUGGAUGUCGACCAUGUUUGUUUAUGGAAAGCAUUGACUUUCUUAUGAAACGUUGUUGUGUCACUCUUUCUUUAUAAAAUGUGCAUUCAUGAAUAUAUUAUGUGGAUGCAUCCUUAUAUGAAUUCAACUGAACAAUAUAUGAUGUCAAUGUGUCUUAAUAUGAUGUCGGCAAUCAUUAUACGAUGUGCAUUUAUGAAUAUAUUAUGUGGUAGCAUCAUUAUAUAAAAUUAAUGUCAUUUUUUCAAUAUAUUAUGUCAAUUUUCAUUAUACGAUAUGAAUGUUUUAUUAUAUGAUGUGCAUUUAUUUAUAUAUUAUGUGGUAGCAUCAUUAUAUACUGUCAACUUAUCAAUAUAUUAUGUCAAUCUUUCAUUAUACGAUAUGAAUGUUUUAUUAUAUGAUGUGCAUUUAUUUAUAUAUUAUGUGGUAGCAUCAUUAUAUACUGUCAACUUAUCAAUAUGUUAUGUCAAUCUUUCAUAAGACGAUGUGAAUCUAUUAUUACACGACCGCUGCUUUAUAUGAAGUGCAACAUCAUUAUAUCCUGGC